CCUACGGGGGGCUGCAGUCGAGAAUCAUUCACAAUGGGGGAAACCCUGAUGGUGCGACGCCGCGUGGGGGAAUGAAGGUCUUCGGAUUGUAAACCCCUGUCAUGUGGGAGCAAAUUAAAAAGAUCGUACCACAAGAGGCAGAGACUGCUAACUCUGUGCCAGCAGCCGCGGUAAUACAGAGGUCUCAAGCGGUGUUCGGAAUCACUGGGCGUAAGGCGUGCGUAGGCUGUUUCGUAAGUCGUGUGUGAAAGGCGCGGGCUCAACCCGCGGACGGCACAUGAUACUGCGAGACUAGAGUAAUGGAGGGGGAACCGGAAUUCUCGGUGUAGCAGGGAAAUGCGUAGAUAUCGAGAGGAACACUCGUGGCGAAGGCGGGUUCCUGGACAUUAACUGACGCUGAGGCACGAAGGCCAGGGGAGCGAAAGGGAUUAGAUACCCCAGUAGUC
rnacentral:rRNA from 1 species